rnacentral:rRNA from 1 species
GACGUAGGGCGCGAGCGUUGUCCGGACUUAUUGGGCGUAAAGAGCUCGUAGGCGGCUUGUCGCGUCGAAUGUGAAAUCUCGGGGCUCAACUCCGAGCUUGCAUUCGAUACGGGCAGGCUAGAGUUCGGUAGGGGAGUGUGGAAUUCCUGGUGGAGCGGUGAAAUGCGCAGAUAUCAGGAGGAACACCCGUAGCGAAGGCGGCACUCUGGGCCGAUACUGACACUGAGGAGCGAAAGCGUGGGGAGCGAACAGG